rnacentral:rRNA from 1 species
UACGUAGGUGGCAAGCGUUGUCCGGAUUUACUGGGCGUCAAGCGCGCGCAGGCGGUCGUUCAAGUCGCGUGUGAAAGCCCCCGGCUCAACUGGGGAGGGUCACGCGAUACUGAUCGACUCGAAGGCAGGAGAGGGUAGUGGAAUUCCCGGUGUAGUGGUGAAAUGCGUAGAUAUCGGGAGGAACACCAGUGGCGAAGGCGACUACCUGGCCUGUUCUUGACGCUGAGGCGCGAAAGCUAGGGGAGCAAACGGG